rnacentral:rRNA from 1 species
GACGAACGCUGGCGGCGUGCUUAACACAUGCAAGUCGAACGGAGUGUCGAGCAGGUGAGUAAAACGCGGGUGUCCUGCGCUGCACUUCGGGGUAUGCCUUGGAGACUGGGGGUCAUACCGGAGAGUGUGGGAUGGGCACGCGGCCUAUCAGCUUGUUGGUGGGGUAAUGGUCUACCAAGGCGGCGACGGGUAGCCGGCCUGAGAGGGUGGACGGCCACAUUGGGACUGAGAUACGGCCCAGACUCCUACGGGAGGCAGCAGUGGGGAAUAUUGCACAAUGGGCGGAAGCCUGAUGCAGCGACGCCGCGUGGGGGAUGACGGCCUUCGGGUGGUAAACUCCUUUCGCCAGCGACGCGGUAGAUGGAGAAGAAGCACCGGCUAACUACGUGCCAGCAGCCGCGGUAAUAC